GUGCUCACUUUUGCAGCACAUACACUAAAAUUGGAAUGAUACAGAGAUUAGCAUGGACCCUACACAAAGAUGACAUGCAAACUGGUGAAGCAUUUCAUAUUUUU
ensembl:snRNA U6 U6 spliceosomal RNA